CAGAACUUAAAGUAAAUUUUAAAAAAUAAAAAUAAAAAAUAAAUAUAAAUAUGUAAACAAUAUGGUUCUGGGACACAGUAUAGUAACAGGAACUUUAUGUUGGCAUAAUAAUCCUCAUUCAAUAAGCCUUUUUAGGAGAGUGUAACUGGCCACCAAUUUGAAGGAUUGCUUCUUCAUCCAAGAAAAGAAAUGAGGACAUGUUGUUCUCAUAAAAUGAUGGCUCCAAAUUAUUGUAUCAAGGGGUAGACUGCGUCAGCCUGAAUUUAUACCCCUAUUCUGUUUACACAAGAGGAGUCCUUGGCCUGCCAGACCCUUGGCUGCUUGCUCAAAAGAGAUGUCUGGCUGUCACCACUAUCACUUUGUCUCCAAAUAUCAACAACGCUCAUGGCCUCUCCUGGGCUGAGAUCCAAACUCCCUCCAGCAGAUCCUUCUUUAUGCAGCUUCAGCACAAGGUCUGGCUUUUCCACUUCUUCCAGCCUCAAAUGAAGUGCCAUUCCAUACACUGCAGGAUGUGACUUUCCGUGGAUUACUGGAAAUGGUGAGGUGAAACAAUCUGGAAGUUCAAGAGAGUUAAUCAGCUGAACCAAGGAAAGAGGAAAUUAUGGUUGGGAUGGAUGAAAAAGGUCCACAUACUGGUCCAGGAGGGAGGAACCAAACUGUAGUCUGCGUUUCAAUGGAGUGGAGCUGAGAAGUUCAGUCUCUCGUUGAUUCACACAAGGGACAGUUCAGUUUCUCAAGCAAAUGCACAAACAAGCCAAGUGAGAUUAAUUUGGGGAGAAAGAGGCAAUGGAAAAGAUCCUUCAGAAUGCUUUCUGAAUCAAAAUUAGGAUCCUGAACAACAACUUCCUAGGAAAAGAACCAGCUCAGAAUAAAGCAGAAGACUGUCAACUGAGCAGGAGGUUCAGGGCUGAGGAGGACUUACCAGUUUCACUCAAGAAGAAGCUUGGAGUUGGGGGGCUUUCAAUGGGCCCCUGCUGGUACCUUAGCUCUGGGUUUGGGUGACUCUUUCAGGGUUCUGAGUCUUCUCUGAGGCCCCAUAUGUAGGGUGCCAAUUAAUAUUGACUAAAAAAGCCAAACUGUAACAUAUGUGAAGAGGUUUAUUCUAAGCCAAAUAUGAGUAGCCAUGGCCCAAGGCAUGGUCUCAAGAGGUCCUGAGAACAUGUGCUCAAGGUGGUUGGGCUACAGCUUUCUUUUCUAUGUUUUAGAGAGACAUAAGACAUCAAUCAAUACAUGUGAGGUAUCCAUUGGUUUGGUCUAGAAGGGCAGGACGACUUAAAGCAGGGGAAAGUGGGUGCUUACAGGUCAUAGGAGGAUUCCAAGAUUUUCUGAUUGGCAAUUGCUUGAAAGAGUUAAGUUAUUUUCUAAAGACCUGGAAUCAAUAGAAAAGAAUGACUGGGUUAACAUAAGGGGUUGUGGAGACCAAGGUUUUUAUUACAUAGAUGAAGUCUCAUAAGUGGCUGCCCUUAGAGAUAAUAGAUAGCAAAUGUUUUCUAUUUAGACUUUUAAAAGGUGCUAGAUUCUCAGUUAAUCUCUUCAGGUUUCGGAAGGCCUGGAAGAGGAAAGAUCUAGUUAUGUUAAUGAGAUGCUUUACAGAUGCAAAUGUUUCUCAAUGGCUCUGCAGGUCCAUUUCAAAAUAGGGCCAAAAAACAUACUUUGGGGUAAAAUAUUUUUAUUUCCAUUUUUAUCAUGUGAAGUUAUACUAGAGUCAGGUUGGACUUUGGUAUCUUAUUGCUACAAAGAAUCUGUUUUGUCAGUGUUAAGAUCUGUUUUUUUUCUUUGUUUUUGUUUGUUUGUUUUGAGAAGUGGUCUCACUUUGUCACCCAGGCUGAAAUGCAGUGGCACAAUCUCAGCUCACUGCAACCUCUGCCUCCCAGGCUCAAGCGAUUCUCCUGCCUCAGCCUCCCAAGUUGCUAGGACUAAGGUGUAUGUCACCAUGCCUAGCUAAUUUUUGUAUUUUUGCAGAGACAGGAUUUCACCAUGUUGCCCAGGCUAUUCUUGAACUCCUGACUUCAAGGGAUACGCCCACCUCAGCCUCCCAAAGUGUUGACAUUAUAGGCAUGAGCCACCUCACCAGGCCAAGAUCUGUUUUAAUGUUCAUGCUGGUCAGUUAUGCCUGAAAUCCAAAUGGGAGAGGGUAUAAUGAGGCAUGUCUGACCACCUACUUCCUUCCCUUUAUGGCCUUAACUAGUUUUUCAGGUUUCUUUGGAAUCUCUUUGGCAGAAGUGUGGGAUCCAUUCAGUCAAUUGGGGGGUUAGAAUUGCAUUUUUGGUCAUGAAACUUGACCUUGAAAGUUAUUUUAUGAAUAUGAACCAUUUUCUUUUUUUUAUUAUUAUACUUUAAGUUUUGGGAUACAUGUGCAGAAUAUGCAGGUUUGUUACAUAGGUAUACACAUGCCAUGGUGGUUUGUGGCACUCAUCAACCUGCCGUCUACAUUAGGUAUUUCUUCUAAUGCUAUCCCUCCCCUAGUCCCCCACCACUGACAGGCCCCAAUGUGUGAUGUUCCCCUCCCUGUGUCCACGUGUUCUCAUUGAUCAACUCCCACUUAUGAGUGAUAACAUUCAGUGUUUGGUUUUCUGUUCCUGUGUUAGUUUGCUGAGAAUGAUGGUUUCCAGCUUCAUUCAUGUCCCUGCAAAAGACAUGAACUCAUCCUUUUUUGUGGCUGCAUAGUAUUCCAUGGUGUAUAUGUGCCACAUUUUCUGUAUCCAGUCUAUCAUCAAUGGGCAUUUAGGUUGGUUCCAAGUCUUUGCUAUUGUGAACAUUGCCGCAAUAAACAUAUGUAUACGUGUGCAUGUGUCUUUGUAGUAGAAUGAUUGAUCAUCCUUUGGGUAUAUACCCAGUAAUGGGAUUACUGGGUCAAAUGGAAUUUCUGAUUCUAGAUCCUUAAGGAAUCGACACACUCUUCCACAAUGGUUGAACUAACUUACACUCCCACCAACAAUGUAAAAGCUUUCCUAUUUCUCCACAUUAUCUCCAGCAUCUGUUGUUUCCUGACUUUUUAAUGAUUGCCAAAUACCUAAUGACUUUUUAAUGAUGGCCCCAAAUACCUAAUCCUGAUGGUAAUGGUAUUAAGAGGUAAGGCCUAUGGGAGGUGAUUUGGUCAUGAGGCUCUACCCCCAUGAAUGGGAUUAGUAUCCUUAAAAAUGUGGCCUGAGGGAGCUCUUUUACUUCUACUACCAUAUGAGGACAUAGCUAGAAGGUGCCAUCUUUGAAGCAGAGAUUGAGCCCUCAUUGUUCACCACAUUUUCUGGCACCUUAAUGUUCGAAAUCCCUGACUCCAGGACUCUCAGUAAAUUACGUUUUUAAAAACUACCCAGUCCAAGUUACAUUGUUAUAGCACCCUGAAAGAAUCAAGGUAUAAAUUGAUAGCAAGAAGUGGUGUGCUGCUCUAACAAAUACCUACAAAUGCGGAUGCAGCUUGGGAACUAGGUAAUGGGUAGAGGCCGUAAGAAUGCAAAGGAUCAGGCUAGAAAAAGCCUACAUUUCUGUGAGCAGAGUGUUAAGAGUGAUCUGGUUAUGGCUCAGAAGAGGAGAGCUGUAAACAAUGCCUAAUCUUCUUAGAGAUUUCCUAAGAGGUCAUGAACAGAAUUUUGGUAUAAAUCUGGAUGGUAAAGGCCAUUCUGAUGAAGUCUCAGGUGAAAAUGAGAAAUGUUAUCAGAAACUGGAGGAAAAGCCAUCCCUCUUAUAAAGUGGCAAAUAACCUGGCUGAACUGUGUAUGUAUCCUAGGGCUUUGCAGAAGGUAGAACUUCUGAGCAAUGAUAGUAUAGUUAGUGAAAUAAAUAUCUAAGCAAAGUGUUGAGGGUGUGUUAUGGCCUCUCUUGAAUGCUUGUAGUAAAAUACAAGAAGAUAGAAACAAAUUAAAAAGAAUUUAUAAUCAAAAGGGAAGCAGAAUGUAAAGAUCUGAAAAAUUUUCAGUGUGGCUAUGUUGUGAAGAGUUAAUGAAAAAGCAUAUUCAGAAGAGAAUACUAAAGGUAUGACCAAGCCACCAUUUGAUAAGAAGAUUAGUAGGGAUAGAAGGAAGGCAGAUGCUAUUCUGCAUGACAAUAAGAGAAUGACCCUAAAGGCAUUUCAGAGACCAUCCAGCCUGCCACUCACAUCACAGGCUCAGAAUACCAAACCUGGGGCGUAAAAUGAGGUCAAAAGAGGGACCUUGGGCAUCCAAGGAACCUCAGUGCUUGCUGCCCUGAACUACCUCAAGUCUCUGCUCCCUACAUUCUGGCACAGCAUUUUUCAGCUCCCUCUCUCAUCAGAUGUGUCUCAAAUGGGCCCAGAUGUGGUUCAGGCCACCACUCUAAAGUGCACAGGCAGUAAAAAUCUUGGCAGCAUCAACACAGUGCCAUCUCCACAGGAGCACAGAGCAAAAUGAGCUGUAGAGACAUGGCUACCUCCACCUAUAUUACUAAGGGUACUCCCAGAGAGCUGCAGGGCAUGGACAAAGAUGUCCCACAGGAAUAGGACUACAAUAAAGAGUCACCAUUGGGGCAAUGUCUAUUAAAGCCAUGGAGGGACCACCAUAAAGGCAAAGUCUGGUAAAACCAUGAGGGCAGGGCCAUCCCAGAGACCUCAGAUUGGUAAAGCCACCAGUGUGCAACUCCAGCCUAGGACAACCACAAACACAAGACUCCAACACAUGAGCACUGUGGCACGGGCUAUGCACAGAAAAGUCAUUGGGAAUGGGACCAGUUAAAGCCUUGGGGGCCCAAUCCUCAUCCAAGUGUGUGUGAAAGGCACAACACUGAGUCAAAGAAGAUUAUUCUCCAGCCUUAAGUUUUAAUAUUGUUUGUGCUCUUGGGUUUUAGACUUCCUUGAAACAUAUUACCCCUUUUCCUUUCUUCUCUCUCCCUUAUGGAAUGGGAAUUUCUAACUUAUGCCUGUCCCACCACUGUAUUUUGGAAACAUAAAACUUGUUUAACUUCAAAAGCUCAGAGUAGAAGGGGAAUUUGGCUCAGAAUGAAUGAUACCUUGAGUCUCACCCAAAUCUAACGUAGAUGAUAUUUAGAUGAGACUUUGAACUUUAAACUUUUGAGUUGAUGCAAAAACAGGUUAAGAAUUUGGGGGCUAUUGACGGGCACGGUGGCUCACGCCUGUAAUCCCAACACUUUGGGAAGCCAAGGUGGGUGGAUCACGAGGUCAGGAGUUCAAGACCAGCCUGGCCAACAUAUUGAAACCCCGUCUAUACUAAAAAUACAAAAAUUACCCAGGCAUAGUGGCACACGCCUGUAGUCCCAGCUACUCAGGAGGCUGAGGCACGAGAAUCACUUGAGCCUGGGAGGUGGAGGUUGCAGCGAGCCAAGAUUGCACCACUGCACUCCAGCCUGGGUAACAGAGUGAGACUCCGUCUCAGGAAAAAAAAAAAAAAAAAAAAAAAGAAUUUGGGGGCUAUUAGGAUAGGAUGAAUAUAUUUUGCAUGUGGGAAAGACACAAAUUUGGGGGGCCCAAGGGUGGGAAGGUAUGUUCUAAAAGUCUGUAUCCCCCAAAAUUUAUAUGUUGAAACCUAACCCCCAAGGUGAUAUUAUUAAGAGAUGUAGCCUUUGGAAGCUGAUUAGAUAAUGGAGGGUCAGUCAUACUGAAUGGGAUUAGUUCCCUAAUAAAACAGACGUGAGAGAGCUUGUCACCUCUUCUGCCAUGUGAGCAUAUAGAUAGAAGGUGCCAUCUUUGAAGCAGAGAGUGAGCCUUCAACAGAUAAUGAAUGUGCUGGGGCCUUGAUCUUGGACUUCCCAGACACCACAACUGUGAGCAGUAAGUUUUAUUAUUUAUAAAAGAUUAUAAAUCACCUAGCUAUGGUAUUUUGCUACAGCAGCCUGAAUGGACUAAAAUAAGGCUGAUAUAUUUUACUGAUAAUUUCAAAGAAUCUGUUUAAAAUUCAUUGAUUAUUAAUUUUUGGCUUUCUAUUCCUGUGAUUUCACUUUCAAAAUGAUUGAAUCAAUUCUUCUCAUUUGCUUGGAUUAAUUAUUUGUUUAUUAACAUUUGGUAAGAUUAGUUCAUUCUUUUCGGUCUUAUUACCUUAAUUUUCAAAACUGUUUUAUAUAACACUUGGUUGAGCUUAUGAUAAUAAAUAAAUAAAUAAACAUUUUAAUAAAGUCAUUAAUGGAUAAAGGCUUUCCUCUGAGAAAAGCAUCUGCAGGCAUAAUAGGAUUUGACUUGAUGUAUUUUGCCUUUAAUUAUUCUCUGGAUAUUAUGUAAGUUCCCUUUUUAUUUCCUAUUUGAGUAAAAGAGAAUCUUAAACGUGUUUAUUAAUUUCAGAUUGGAUAAGAUUUUGGUAAUGUUUCUUUACUUCCAAAUUUAUUGAAUAGACAAAUGAUAUGGAUGGAUAAAUGCUUACUAUUUUAAUACAUUAAAUGAUUUUAAGCCAAAAGACUGAUAAACCUAUUAAAAAUUCUCAUUCUUGCCGGGCACAGUGGCUCACACCUGUAAUCCCAGCACUUUAGGAGGCCAAGGUGGGCGGAUCACUUGAGGUCAGGAGUUUGAGACUAGCCUGGCCAACAUGGGGAAACCCCGUCUCUACUAAAAAAUACAAAAAUAGGCCGGCGUGGUGGCAGGCACCUGUAAUCUCACCUACUCAGGGGGCUGAGGCAGGAGAAUCACUUGAACCUGGGAGGUUGGAGGUUGCGGUGAGCCAAGAUCAGGCCACUAUACUCCAGCCUGGGCGACAGAGCCAGAAGUCCAUCUCAAAAAAAAAAAAAAAAAAACAAAACUCAUUCUCUAAUUGUGAGAUGUAAAGUGUUAUAUUUAAUACGUAAAUUGUGUUUAUUGAUUGAAUAAUUCAGUUCUUUAUGUCUUUUACAGGAAUUUAAAGACUGAUUUAUGCAUAAAACAAGAGAAUCAGAAGUAUUAAAUUUAAUCAGUGCUUAUUAUGGCAUGGUCCAUUUAUAUCAGUGUUUUUCUUUUUGAGAGUAUUUCCUUAUUUUCUGAAUCCAUGUAUAAAUAAAAGCUAUUUUCUACUAAAAAAAAACCAUGGUAACAUGGAUCAAUAAAUAAUACAGAUCAAAGCAGAACUAAACAAAAUAGAGAUGAAAAACCAACACAAAGGAUCAACAAAAUGAAAAAUUGGUUCUUUGAAAAUAUAAACAAAACUGCUGGGCGCGAUGGCUCACUCCUGUAAUCCCAGCACUUCGGGAGGCCAAGACGGGUGAAUCACUUGAGGUCAGGAGUUCGAGAUCAGCGUGGCCAAAAUGGUGAAAUCUCAUCUCUACUAGAAAUAAAAAAAGUAGCCAGGCAUGGUGGCGCACGCCUGUAAACUCAGCUACUAGGGAGGCUGAGGCACAAGAAUCGCUUGAACCCAGGAGAUGGAGGUUGCAGUGAGCCAAGAUCACACCACUGCACUCCAGCCUGGGUGACAGUUUUAUAUUUAUAUAUAUAUAUACACACACACACACACAUAUGAACCUGAUAAACCACUAGCUAGACUAACCAAGAAAAGAACAG
rnacentral:lncRNA from 1 species